rnacentral:lncRNA from 1 species
AAGGUUUCUUGAGCCUUCCUAACCUUACCCUUAAAUCCACUGGAUACCAGUGCUCUUAUGAAGUUCUUAGGAAUACCAGUUACAAACCUUGCCCAUGUUUUUCUCAGAUCUCUAACCACUGUUCAUACCAAACUUUCAUUUCUUGAUAAUUAGUGAUCUCAGUUGAUGAUUCCAUAAGCAAUUUGAAUGCCCAGUAGACAAUGUUUCUGAUUGGUCAUUAAUACUUUUAAUGUAUAUUAAAUACAAUAGAUUUCUAAUUGGUGAAAUUGAAGGGAGAGAUAAGAAUGGUUCUAUUCAGUGCUUACUCUCUUCAGAACUAGAGCAAGAUAAUUUUAGCUCUGUUUUUUGGGUUUUUUUUAUGUUUUUAUAUUUGCUCCAGAUUCUUUAGAUUCUAGAAUGUUUGAUGAGGCCAAAAAAAUUAUUUUGACAAAAAUUAGGUAAAAUUUGCCUUCAUAUUUGUUUUAAAAGUUUUGUAUAUAUAAUACUCCAGCAAUGGUAAUUUAAUGCAAACAAAGGGAGAGAAUAUAGAAUGAGAUUAAGAGUUGUUAAAAUUGCUUUUUAUCAUUGGCACAGCAGGUAAAAUGAUAGUACCCCUCUUCUGGAUGAAUGGAAUGGAAGGUAAUUGUCAGGAGAAUAUGAUGUCAUUCAUAGAUUCCUUGCUAAUGGUUAGAUGUCUGUUUUACUCCUUGACAUACUCUCACUAACAAAGUAUUCAUCACUUUGAUUCUUACUAUUGGCUUGCAGUCAAUGAUCCAUCUUUAUAGAGAGAUUUUAUACCUCAUUCUCCUUUUGGUUUAUGUUUUGACAAACCAGAGAGUGCUAAUCAAAGGGAAAAAAAACCUGUAAUUUAUCUUAGUUGUAGAAUUAAUAUUUAAACACUACAUAUUUUAUUCUCAGGUACAUAAGAUUUACAUUCCUAUUUACAGGCUCAAGUGCAGUGAAAUUCAUUGAUGAUGAGAGCUAGGAAUACAACUACAACUCCCAUCCUCUCUGUUACCUUGAAUCCUCCACUGAGAAAUUGUAAAUGUCUCCCACCCUGAUUCUUUUGACUUUGUUAUGAUAUUGAAAGCAAUUUUGUACCCAACGGGGCACACUAACAGAACACAUUAUCCCCUGAAUUAUAUUUACGGUAUCAUUUUGCAUUUAAUUAUUCCAUGUCAUCCUUUGCUACUUCACUGAAGAACUGUGAAUUCUUUGUAGUCAGGCCUCAGAUAAUUUUAAAAUUGUGGUAUUUGCUUUGGUAAGAUCCUCUCUAAUAGAAAACAGGCACUCCUUUAAUCUCAUUAAACUGUCCUUUAGAUAAUUAAAAUGGUUAUAAUAUGAAAUAUUUUUUGAUGGCAAGAGAUAAUAUACCAUGCCACUUGCUAUUUAAAUAAGAUCGUGGCAUUCACAUUCAAUUUUAAAUAUGUUUAGAACAGAAUAUUCCUUACAAGAGCAAUAAAAAUCAUUAAGUUCUUUAAGCUAUUAUAGGCUACUGCUUCCAAUGUUACUCUUCACCUACACCUAUCUGUUAAUAUUUUAGGAUAAACAAUUAGAAGAUGCCAAAUAUGCACAUAUUCUUGAAGAAAAGUGUUGUAUUUUUUGUGAAAGUGAUGGUAAAAAAUGGAGAAAAUAACUAGCUCUGUUUUGCAAUUUGAGGCUUUGGAGAAUAUACCCUUGAAUGACUUACAGGAAUUAUUCAUGCAAGGUGUUCUCUUCAGCAAACGUUUGGUUGAUUGGCCAAAACUAGCAUUAUCUUGAAAGAAUUUUCAAGUGAAAUUAGACUGUCCAUUCAGAUAUCGGUUGAAAAGAUUUUGGUCCAGCCAGUCUUUCAGCAUGGAAAUUUUACAAAAUUAAUUGGAUCACUCUUAUUUUGUGAAUUGCUCUGCUCCCAAAAAGCAGACAUUCACCACAUCAGAAUCAAGAAAGAGAAAAAAGAACAGUUCCUGAUAUUCAGAAGACAGUCUGGCAUACACAUCUAGGCUAUGUUAUUUUCCCAUUAGAUAUAAACAAUUCUCACAGAGUACCAGCCUCAGAUAAGGGUAUUCCUUUUUGUUUGUUUUUGUCUUUUGUCUUUUUACGGCCACACCAACGGCAUACUGAAGUUCCCAGGAUAGGGAUCAAAUCAGAGCUACAGCUGCCGGCUUGUGCCACAGCCAGAGCAAUGUGGGAUCCAAGCCAUGCCUGCGACCAACACCACAGCUCACAGCAACGCAGGAUCCUUAACUCACUGAGCAAGGCCAGGGAUCAAACCUGCGUCCUUAUGGAUACUAGUUGGGUUUGUUAACCACUGAGCCACGAUGGGAACUCCUAUAUAGAAUAUUGAGUAGAGUUCCUUGCAGCAGGUCCCCAUUGACCAUUCAUUCCAUAUACAAUAGUGCUUAUAUGCCAGUCCCAAACUUGCAAUCCAUCCCUCCCCACCACCUUUCCCCUUUGUGUCAUUUCUUUAGACUCCACAUAUAAGUGAUAACAUAUGAUAUUUGUCUUUUUCUAAGACAGGAUUAUUCUGAUACCAUGAUAAAAUGAAACAAAUAGAAGCCACCUCAUAAUUUUGUCUAUGCUCAGACAAAAAUCAAGAUUGUUUUAAAACUUCCAAAAUAACAAAGCACCUCCCCCAUUUUCUGGGCAAAGUAAAUGCAUAUUUCUUAACUAAUACAAUGUAAAUCUUGUGUUAGUCUCUACUUUCUGUAAAUAAAUUUUACUGAGAUAGACAAUCACAGAGUUGCUUCUACUUUCUGACAGCAUGCAGUCUAGAGGGAACACUAGCCUCCUUACAUCUUCUCUCAAAUUACCCACUCAAAGCCCCAAUCCUAAUAGGGUCUUUCUAACACCUUCUUAUGGAGACACUCCAUGGUUCACCAUAGUCUGUGUCCUCCUUUGCUAUGACAAGGGAUAAGUCCAGUUUGUUUACCUAUAGAUGUGUUUUUGGUAAUAUUUUGCUUAAGUAUAUUAAGCGAAAGUGACAGUAUUUAAGGUCAUGUGGCAGAGAAAAUAGUCAUGGUCAUCAAAUUUCUAAGUUAUGCUUACUUCUUACUUUAAACCCUCUUAUGCCUGAAAAACCAAUAAAUGCACACAUGCAUAAAACCUUCUUUAACAUUUAAACCCAGAGGAAAACAGCAGAAAUUGAUACUAAUUUACUAUCAUUAUGAGAAAUAACACCUUCAGUCAGGAAUAACAAGAGGAAAAGUGUAUAUAUAUACAUAGAGAUAUUUUUAAAUUCGAAGAGUAAAAUGAAUCAAUGGUAUUUUCUUAGCUUUUUUCCUUGUUUUUCUUCUAAGAACUUGGUGUGUGGGUGUGGUAGACUGAAAAAUGCCCCCCCCCACCCCUAUGUCCAAGUUCUAAUCCCUGGAACCUGUGAAUCUGUGAAUGUGUUACAUUAUAGUUUACAAGGGAUUUUGCAGAUAUAAUUAAGGUUAUGGACCUUAAAACAAAGAGAUUAUCCUGGAUUAUCUGAGUGGUGCCAAUUUAAUCACAUGAGCCUUUCAAAGCAGAGCCUCUUUUCUGGCUGGAGGCCAAGGGAAUAGCAGAAGCAGAAGGAGGAGGGAUUGGAAUUAGAGAGACUUGACCUGCAGCUCCCGGAUAGAGGCUACAUGAUGAGGAUUGCGACAACCUCUAGGAGCCAGGACUACAUUCAGACUGACAGUGGGCACAGAAAUGGGGACUUCAGUCCUACAACCACAAGGAGGAACUGCACCCAGCCCACAAGUUGAAUGAUCUUGUAAGUGGGUCCAGAGCCUCAUGAAAGACAUGCAGACUUGCUGGCUCAACUUCAGCUUUAUGAAACUCUAAGCAGAGAACACAGUUGUGUAAUGCUAUAUCUUGACUCUGACCUACAGAAUUGUGAGAUAAGAAAUGGGCAUUGCAUCCAACUUCUAAAUGUAUAGUAAUUUGUUAUUGCAGCAAUAGGAAACUAAAAAUUAUCUCUCAAGGUCAAGGUUAACCAAAAGAUUUUGCUUUGCACCCUUAUGGGAAUAAUAUUUUUACCAGAAAAAAAAAAAAGAUGAUUCUCUAGAUCAACAUCUAUUUUUGCUUCAUAUCCCUCUUUGUUUUUCCCUAGAAUCUAUAAUUCACUUUUAUAAAUUAAAAGGUAAUAGUCUAUUUUUACUUAGAGGAUGGGAAGUAAGAAAAGUGUAUAAACCAUGCCUCAAAGAAGUAGCUAGGCAAUAUGAAAGUGUGGUAAAGGAAUAGGGCAUGUGAGAAAUUUACCCAAGUAAAAAUUAAUCUAAUUAUGUGUGUAGAUAUAAGUUUUGUUACCCCAAAGAAGUUGGCACAAGAGAGAAGAAUCUCAGAAUUGUUAUAAUGAAUUGAUGAGGAGAUGAAUGGAUCCUGAAAAAGUAUCAGGCAUUUGAAGAUGAUGAAGGCAAGAAAGUAGGAAUAAAAUACUGACUCUUGAUAUGAGUGGCUAGAAAGUUAUCCAGUCUUCAAAAGAAGGAAUUCAUUUUGAAACAGAUAACUCUUAAACAAGAUGUGUAAUUAUUUAUGAGUAUUAGCAAACAUUUUCACAUUUAUAUAUGUGUAUUUUAAAUUAAAAAGUACAUAAAAUAUACAUAUUUUUCAUAGGAAAUUAUGUUUAUAUUAUUACUAAUUAAUAUUUUUAAUAAAUUACCAACACAGAAAAAUGUUUAAUAUACUACAAAUAUCUGAUUCUGGGGAGACCUAAACAAGCAUUUGGAAAAGGCAACAGUUGUGCCCAGUCAGACACAGCUUCCAGUUUAUUAGGGAAUCAUACAACUACUUCACAAACAGAAAAUGUUUUUAAUUUGAUUUGUCAAGAUUUAGCCUCAAUCCUUUUAUUAAUGGCUUUUGAAUUCAGUAUGUUUUCUUGCAUUCUAUAUAAGACAAAAUAAAAAUAUCCUGUUUUUCAUUUGAGUUUUUUAGAAUUUGUUGGUUUUAUAGUAAAACCUAGAAGAUCACAGUCCUCACCUUGAGUAUAUCUCCAAAUAAUUUGAAAUUUCCAAAGGGAGUAAACUCAGCUCAUAGUAUUUUGAAUCAUUUAGAGAUUUCAUUUAACUACAUGUGUAUGAAACAUCUGACUAGAAUGGUUUAAUCAACAGUAGAUUUUAUUUUUCACCCACCAUCUCUGAAAGUAGGUGGCCCAAGUCUGUUGCAAUGACUCCACAGAUUCUUAAGAGUUAUCACAUGUUAUCAUUCAAUUAUGCUAUUUUUAGUAGGUGUUCUCAUGUUUGUGAAAUCUCACAAAGACAUCUCAACAUUCCCAUCCUUUUAGGAAGCAACAAAGUAGAUGUGGUGGAAAAGCAGAAGUAUUCCAACCAGCUCCAGAAACAUUCUAGUUGGCCAGAAUUUUGUCACUUGAAUACUCCUUGUAAGAAAUUUAGAGAAAUGCAACAGAUAAUCUGCACAAAUAG